rnacentral:rRNA from 1 species
CCUACGGGAGGCAGCAGUAGGGAAUUUUCGUCAAUGGGCGCAAGCCUGAACGAGCAAUGCCGCGUGAACGAGGAAGGUCUUCGGAUCGUAAAGUUCUGUUGAAGGGGAAAAAGAGCGGAGCGAGGAAAUGGUCUCCGAUUGAUAUUACCCUUCGAGGAAGUCCCGGCUAACUACGUGCCAGCAGCCGCGGUAAUACGUAGGUGGCGAGCGUUAUCCGGAAUGAUUGGGCGUAAAGUGUGCGUAGGCGGCCUGCUAAGUCUGGAGUGAAAGGUACCGGCUCAACCGGUAUAGGCUCUGGAAACUGGCGGGCUAGAGAGCAGGAGAGGGCGGUGGAACUCCAUGUGUAGCGGUAAAAUGCGUAGAUAUAUGGAAGAACACCAGUGGCGAAGGCGGCCGCCUGGCCUGUGACUGACGCUGAGGCACGAAAGCGUGGGGAGCAAAUAGGAUUAGAUACCCCUGUAGUC